rnacentral:lncRNA from 12 species
UUUGAACAUUGCUUUUACAAGACUUUUAACACUCUUACGCUUAAACAGUUGCCCUGGCUUGUUCUACCUUUUGUGACCUUCUCCUUGGGCACAUUUGCCCAUUAGAUCAAAGAUAGUACCAGGUAAAUCAAGGGUCCCAAGGGCAAUAAACCAGAAUAUGGUCCUUUAUCUGACAUAUUCCUGGCACACCUGGAAAUGUGCCAAAUAUUGACUUCAAGUAAAGCCAUUGGACAGCAACACCUGUUACAUCACCAUGUUACUAACCUGUUUAUACUAGAGAAGUGAAGGAAAGUUUUAGGUAGAAGCGAUCACAUACCCUACUAUCUCACAUAUAACACUAGUCAUCAUUAAUGGUUCACAACUGACAAAUUGGGAUCAGUAGUUUCCAACAGUUGGAUAGUAUGAGCUAACUGAUUUGUGCAGGUACCUUCUACUAUGAAAUAAAAAUUGAUAUAUAUGGGAUGCUGCCUAUGAAUUAUGGAUGGUAUUCAAUUAUAAAAGGAGCUUGUUGAAGAGGUAGUAUACACAACCUCCUCUAGAGCUUAGCAUCAUCACAGACUUGGGGCUAAAUAUAACAUGAAAGUUUAAUGCCUCUCAUUUUGUCAUCCAUGAUUUCCUUUUUUAGUACUAUGAAAAAUCAAUAUCUAUCUAUUGACAUGGAAGUGAGACUGACAAGUCAAGUCUAAAGGAAAACCAGCCGCAGAAGGGUUAAAGAGAGUCAAGUCCAUAAUUCUCCUGUGUGCUGAUUAUUCUUCUAAAUGUGUGCAUCAUUUUAUGAAGAAUUCAUCCCCAUGUUCUCACAUGCCCCGGAAGAGGAUUUUCUUCUCACCUCUUACUAUCUGAUGAUUCUUCCUCAACCCUGCCACCGGUCACCUGCAUUCCUUCAUCCUUUGUGGUGAACAAGGAGCUUUAAAUGCAAUGCCUACUCCCAUAAAGUUUGGGAUCCUUCAGCUAGACAAAGUCAAAGAAAUUUCCUGGCAGGUGGUUUCAAUAGCCAGUAGAACCCUGACAGAGAUGACAGAGUGCUUGGAUGGGGAGAGCCAGUGCUAUUUUGCAGAAGCCAAAGAAAGGGAGAACAAAGGGAGACCUACACCUUCUGGAUUACAGGAUCCUGAUUCUGAGUCAAGUCUCAGGAAAAGCUGACCGUUUAAGGAAAUAAAGGCACUUUUAAAAGGUAACA